GCAGACAUUUUGUUACAGCGCACGGCAACAUCGUUAUUUUUAGUAGCUAAAGGAUAUCGCCGCGUGUAGACGCUUGUGAGUUGUGUGUGACUUUUAAAUUAAUAAACGAUAACUUACAAUAUGAAGUUCAUCACAUUUUCCAUGAUCAUAUUCGGAGCUAUCGCCAUCAGUGAGAACUCAAUAGUCCCCAGCAACAAAGAUAUAUAUGUUAUGGACAACCCAACAUCAAAUAACAUAUAUAUAUCCCUAUUACCAAUAGAAAACCCAAGCAAAAAUACUGAAAAAGAACCCAAAGAAUUGAACAUUUUACGUCAAGAAAUGAAAGAGAUUAUGAAAAGGAUGUGCGGGCAUGAUGUCAAGUCGGGAGAAAUGGAAUCGGACAUGUAUACAUGUGCGAUUAAGACCGUUACUUCGUUCAUUGGAUGUAUGCAUAUGGAUGCAGAUGGUUUGAAAGAUACAACUGUAGCCGACCCGUUCAUGAAAUGCCUCAGCCAAGCCGUGAGCGUGUUUGUGAAAUGCCUUAUAUCAAAACCAUCGGCCGCAGUACUUGAUAAUUACGCUCCCGAUAGCAUUAAUUAGUUAUGCAU